UGGGGAAUCUUGCGCAAUGGGCGAAAGCCUGACGCAGCAACGCCGCGUGCGGGAUGAAGGCCUUCGGGUUGUAAACCGCUUUUACCAGGAACGAAAAUGACGGUACCUGGAGAAUAAGGUGCGGCCAACUACGUGCCAGCAGCCGCGGUGACACGUAGGCACCAAGCGUUGUCCGGAUUUAUUGGGCGUAAAGAGCUCGUAGGCGGUUCAGUAAGUCGGGUGUGAAAACUCUGGGCUUAACCCAGAGACGCCACUCGAUACUACUGUGACUAGAGUUCGGUAGGGGAGCGGGGAAUUCCUAGUGUAGCGGUGAAAUGCGCAGAUAUUAGGAGGAACACCGGUGGCGAAGGCGCCGCUCUGGGCCGAAACUGACGCUGAGGAGCGAAAGCGUGGGUAGCAA
rnacentral:rRNA from 1 species